rnacentral:tRNA from 1 species
AUUUAUAUAAUAUAUCUAGUAUAUUUGACUUCCAAUCAAAAAGAUUAAAACUUUUAAUAUAAAUA